GGGGAUGUAGCUCAGUUGGCUAGAGUGCUUGACUGGCAGUCAAGAGGUCGUGGGUUCGAGCCCCAUCUUCUCCACUA
rnacentral:tRNA from 8 species